UGUUCCCAACCUGUGAGCUUCAGAGGUUGAGGGUGGAGGGAUGGUAACUGACUCAUGAGGCAGUGUCUCGCUCUGUUGCCCAGGCUGGAGUGCAGUGGCACAAUCACGGCUCACUGCUGCCUCAACCUUUGGUGCUCAAGUGAUUCUUCUAUUUCAGCUUUCUGAGCAGCUAAGACUACAGGUGUAUACCACCACACCUGGCUAGUGUGUGUGUGUGUGUGUGUGUG
rnacentral:lncRNA from 10 species